UUUCCGUAGGUGAACCUGCGGAAGGAUCAUUAAUAUAUAACCGAUGUUCGAGCGCUGUUGCUUACACGACAGCUUUUUCACCCCUGAGUGCCCUCGCACCCAUCCAUCUCACCCCUAUGUGCACCACCGCGUGGCUCCCCCUUUCUUUUUCUCGGAAGGGUGCUUACGUUUUCACACAAACUUUGAAUUCAGGAUAAAAUGUAUUUUUUGUUUUUCCUCUCACGCAAUCAAUACAACUUUCAAGAACGGACCUCUUGACUCUCGCAACGAUUAAGAACC
rnacentral:misc_RNA from 1 species